GCUGGCAGGGCGACAACCAGCGCAGACUGCCGUGCCCCAGGUAUCUGUGGGCGAGUAUCUCUUUGAGUGCCUCACUCUUAAGCUCAACUCAGAGGCCUCUGCGCCUUCC
rnacentral:pre_miRNA from 14 species